UUACGUCCAUAUCACGCUGAAACAACGGUUCCCGUAUGAUCAUCGAAGCUAAACAACUUCAAGCCUCGUCAGUAUAUGAAUCGGUAACCGCUUGGGAAUAGCAAGUGUUGUAA